rnacentral:rRNA from 1 species
GUAAAUCAAACACGAUUAGAUACCUUGGUAGUCCGCACGGUAAACGACGGAUUCCCGAUAUGCGACCUUAUGACUGUGGGACCAAGUGAAAGCAUUAUGCAUCCCACGUGGGGAGUACGCCGGCAGCGGUGAAACUCAAAGGAAUUGACGGGGGCCCGCACAAGCGGAGGAACAUGUGGUUUAAUUCGAUGAUACGCGAGGAACCUUACCCGGGCUUGAAUUGCAGAUGAUCCGGCAGAGAUGCCGGAGUCCUUCGGGAAGUCUGUGAAGGUGCUGCAUGGUUGUUGUCAGCUCGUUCCGUGAGGUGUUGGCUCAAGGGCCAUAACGAGCGCAACCCCUGUUUCCUGUUGCCAUCAGGUUAAGCUGGGCACAUCGGCGAGAGUGCCCCCGUAAGGUCUGAGGAAGCUGGGGAUGACGUCAAAUCCGCACGGCCCUUACGUCCUGGGCUACACACGUGUUCCAAUGGCCGGUACAGAGCGAUGGUGUCCAGCAAGGUGCAUCAAACCGCGAAAACCGGUUCCAGUUCGGACUGGGGUCUGCAACCCGACCCCACGAAGCUGGAUUCGCUAGUAAUCGCGCAUCAGCCAUGACGCGGUGAAUACGUUCCCGGGCCU